AUUGAACGCUGGCGGCAGGCCUAACACAUGCAAGUCGAGCGGAUGACGGGAGCUUGCUCCUUGAUUCAGCGGCGGACGGGUGAGUAAUGCCUAGGAAUCUGCCUGGUAGUGGGGGACAACGUUUCGAAAGGAACGCUAAUACCGCAUACGUCCUACGGGAGAAAGCAGGGGACCUUCGGGCCUUGCGCUAUCAGAUGAGCCUAGGUCGGAUUAGCUAGUUGGUGGGGUAAUGGCUCACCAAGGCGACGAUCCGUAACUGGUCUGAGAGGAUGAUCAGUCACACUGGAACUGAGACACGGUCCAG
rnacentral:rRNA from 1 species